GAUGAAGAACGUAGUGAAAUGCGAUACUUGGUGUGAAUUGCAGAAUCCCGUGAACCAUCGAGUCUUUGAACGCAAGUUGCGCCCGAAGCCAUCAGGUUGAGGGCACGUCUGCCUGGGCGUCACAUAUCGUUGCCCAAUGCCUAUUGCAGUGCAAUAGGAAUUUCUAGGGCGAAUGAUGGCUUUCCGUGAGCGUUGUUGCCUCGCGGUUGGUUGAAAAUCGAGUCCUUGGUAGGGUGUGCCAUGGUAGAUGGUGGUCGAGUUAGAACGAUACCGAUCAUGUGCAUGCUCCCCAAAAUAUGGCCUCUAUGACCCACACGCGUCUUUUGACGCUCAUGACGAGACCUCAGGUCAGGCGGGGCUACCCGCUGAAUUUAAGCAUAUCAAUAAGCGGAGGA
rnacentral:misc_RNA from 1 species